rnacentral:rRNA from 1 species
AGUGAACGCUGGCAGCGUGCUUAACACAUGCAAGUCGAACGAGAACGGAAUAUAGCUUGCUAUAUUUGUCAGCUAAGUGGCGCACGGGUGAGUAAUGUAUAGAUACCCUGCCCUUAAGAAAGGAAUAACAGUUGGAAACGACUGCUAAUGCCCUAUAUGCCUUUAAUACAUAAGUAUGCAAGUGAAACGCUUUAGUGCUUAAGGAUGGGUCUGUAUGGUAUCAGCUUGGUGGUGAGGUAAUGGCUCACCAAGGCUAUGACGCCUAACUGGUUUGGGAUGAUGAGUAAUCACACUGGAACUGAGAGCCGAACCAGACUCCGACGGGAGGCAGAAGUGGGGAAUAUUGCACAAUGGACGAACGUCUGAUGCAGCUACGCCGCGUGGAGUAUGCCACAUCUCGGUCCAUAAACUGCUUUUGUAUAGGAAGAUAAUGACGGUACUAUAUCAAUAAGCAGCGGCUAACUCCGUGCCAGCAGCAGCCGCAG